rnacentral:rRNA from 1 species
CGUGUAGGCGGAGAGAUAAGUCAGACGUUAAAUUUCGGGGCUCAACCCUGGAGUGCAUCUGAAACUGUCUUUCUUGAGGAUAGGCGGGGAAAACGGAAUUCCACAUGUAGCGGUGAAAUGCGUAGAUAUGUGGAGGAACACCGGUGGCGAAGGCGGUUUUCUAGCUUAUUCCUGACGCUGAGGCGCGAAAGCGAGGGGAGCAAACAGGAUUAGAUACCCUGGUAGUCC